GAGAGGGCGACCGGCCACACUGGGACUGAGACACGGCCCAGACUCCUACGGGAGGCAGCAGUGGGGAAUAUUGCACAAUGGGCGAAAGCCUGAUGCAGCGACGCCGCGUGAGGGAUGACGGCCUUCGGGUUGUAAACCUCUUUCAGCAGGGAAGAAGCGAAAGUGACGGUACCUGCAGAAGAAGCGCCGGCUAACUACGUGCCAGCAGCCGCGGUAAUACGUAGGGCGCAAGCGUUGUCCGGAAUUAUUGGGCGUAAAGAGCUCGUAGGCGGCUUGUCACGUCGGUUGUGAAAGCCCGGGGCUUAACCCCGGGUCUGCAGUCGAUACGGGCAGGCUAGAGUUCGGUAGGGGAGAUCGGAAUUCCUGGUGUAGCGGUGAAAUGCGCAGAUAUCAGGAGGAACACCGGUGGCGAAGGCGGAUCUCUGGGCCGAUACUGACGCUGAGGAGCGAAAGCGUGGGGAGCGAACAGGAUUAGAUACCCUGGUAGUCCACGCCGUAAACGGUGGGCACUAGGUGUGGGCAACAUUCCACGUUGUCCGUGCCGCAGCUAACGCAUUAAGUGCCCCGCCUGGG
rnacentral:rRNA from 1 species